CGCUACUUUCACAAUAGCAUAUAAAAGCUCUGCAGUUUUACAGUAAUUUUGUUGCACAGUCUACAUGUUUUGCUAAAUUGUGAGUUGAUGAGAGAAAGGGACAUGAUAGCAGUACACCAGGAUGGUAAAAUUGUCAUCCUGUGAUGACAUCAUGGAUCACGUCACUCAUCUCUGCUCCAGCACUUGAUAGUUCAAUAUCCUCCGAACUCCGUUCUUUGCCGAGGGGACACCGACUGGUUGGCUCUGUGUCAAGCAGCAAGGCAGCAGCUCCUCGAGGUCAAUUACGAUUGGAGGCGGCACAUUGGAUGACUGGUUAGCAGAUCUGCCUCACAGUUCUGAGGAGCUGGCUUCAAAUCUAGCCUCGCUUUCAUGUUCUCCAUGCGGGAUUAUCUCCAGACAAUCAUCUGAUACGUGGUCUGAAUUAAAUCACAGAUUACAUAAGAAAAGGUCCUCACCGCCGCACACCAUCGCCGAUAAGGCAGAACCUGAAGUGACGGCGCUCGCCGCGCCGCCAUCAUCUCCCUUAUCUGCUCUCCUUCCUUCCUGCUUUCUUUUCUUCCACCUAUUAACCUGCACUCUUGAUUUAAAACACCGUGAUGGUGCCCAGCCAAGCAGAUUAAUAUGUAAAUGUCAGCAAAGCUUUAUAAUUACAGAAGAUUAACUAUAUUGUGGUAUAAUACUGGAAAGAGAUGCUAAAUUCCAUCCAUUCUUAGGUACAUAAUAAUCUUUUUUUUCUCCUCUUUUCCAACCAGAGAAAAUAUUUCUCUUUUCUUCAAACAAAGUGUUAAAUAUGGAAUGACAUCCAUUAUACUGUACAUUUGAGGAUGAAAAAUAAUU